rnacentral:rRNA from 1 species
CAGCACCUCAAGUGGUCAGGAUGAUUAUUGGGCCUAAAGCAUCCGUAGCCUGUUCUGUAAGUUUCCGGUUAAAUCCAUUAGCCCAACUAAUGGGCUGCCGAAAAUACUGCAGAACUAGGGAGUGGGAGAGGUAGACGGUACUCGGUAGGAAGGGGUAAAAUCCUUUGAUCUAUUGAUGACCACCUGUGGCGAAGGCGGUCUACCAGAACACGUCCGACGGUGAGGGAUGAAAGCUGGGGGAGCAAACCGGAUUAGAUACCCGCGUAGUCC